GAUAAACGCUGGCGGCAUGCCUAACACAUGCAAGUCGAACGGAGUGGCAAACGGGUGAGUAACGCGUGAGUGACCUGCCUUACACCAGGGGAUAGCCUUUGGAAACGCAGAAUAAUACCCUAUGGUUUAAGAUGGACUUGCGUCUGAUUAGCUGGUUGGUGGGAUCAAGGCCCACAAAGGCAACGAUCAGUAGCCGGCGUUGGGGAGUGGACGGGCACUUUGGGACUGGGACAAGGGCCAAACGCUACGAGAGGCAGCAGUGGGGAAGUUGGCACAAUGCGGGUAACAAGGAGGCAGCGACGCCGCGUUAUUUAGAAGGCCUGCGGGUUGGAAAAAUCUUUUUUAUGGGAUGCAGUACCAUAAGAAGAAGGUCCGGCUAAAUACGUGCCAGCAGCCGCGGUAAUUC
rnacentral:rRNA from 1 species